AGAAGCCCAUUUGAUGACAACAAGGAGGUGGGCUUGGAAGCAACCAUCCUUUGAAGAAAGCAUAAUAGCUUACUGGUCUAGCUCCAUGGCACCAAAAAUGUCUCAGGGCUCAA
rnacentral:ncRNA from 1 species